rnacentral:rRNA from 1 species
UUGUUGGAGAGUUUGAUCCUGGCUCAGGACGAACGCUGGCGGCGUGCUUAAUACAUGCAAGUCGAACGAGGUCCAUCCGAUCUUCGGAUUGGUGAAGACCUAGUGGCGAACGGGUGCGUAACACGUGAGAAACCUGCCCCGGUCUCUGGAAUAACAGUUGGAAACGACUGCUAAUACCGGAUGCCGUCGGACCAUCGCAUGAUGGAUCGACGAAAGGGUUACCGGACCGGGAGGGUCUCGCGGCCUAUCAGCUUGUUGGUGAGGUAACGGCUCACCAAGGCAUCGACGGGUAGCUGGUCUGAGAGGAUGGUCAGCCACACUGGGACUGAGACACGGCCCAGACUCCUACGGGAGGCAGCAGUAGGGAAUAUUGCACAAUGGGCGAAAGCCUGAUGCAGCAACGCCGCGUGCGGGAAGAAGGCCCUAGGGUUGUAAACCGCUUUCAGCAGGGAAGAAAAUGACGGUACCUGCAGAAGAAGGUGCGGCCAACUACGUGCCAGCAGCCGCGGUGACACGUAGGCACCAAGCGUUGUCCGGAUUUAUUGGGCGUAAAGAGCUCGUAGGCGGUUCAGUUAGUCGGGUGUGAAAACUCUGGGCUUAACCCAGAGACGCCACUCGAUACUGCUGUGACUAGAGUGCGGUAGGGGAGCGGGGAAUUCCUAGUGUAGCGGUGAAAUGCGCAGAUAUUAGGAGGAACACCAGUGGCGAAGGCGCCGCUCUGGGCCGUAACUGACGCUGAGGAGCGAAAGCGUGGG